rnacentral:rRNA from 1 species
UACAGAGGGUGCAAGCGUUAAUCGGAAUUACUGGGCGUAAAGCGCGCGUAGGUGGUUUGUUAAGUUGGAUGUGAAAUCCCCGGGCUCAACCUGGGAACUGCAUUCAAAACUGACAAGCUAGAGUAUGGUAGAGGGUGGUGGAAUUUCCUGUGUAGCGGUGAAAUGCGUAGAUAUAGGAAGGAACACCAGUGGCGAAGGCGACCCACCGUGGACUGAUACUGACACUGAGGUGACGAAA